UCGAUUUACACCCGUUUCUUGUCUCACUCACCCCCUAUAUCUCUCUGUCUGUUUCUCUCUCGAUCUCACCUUCUCUGUCGACUCGACCUCAGCUGCUCACCAAAUCGACGACGACGGCUACGGCGUCGUCUUCGUCGUCUCUAGCCUCUAAUUCAAUUGAUUUUAAAAGGUUAUUCUCAGCGGGUUUCGAUUAAUAGGCAAAAAUACAGCUCCCUUAACCGAUACAAGUGAAUCUGAUUUGAUCAAGGUCUAAAAUAUCGGUGAUAUCGGAAAUAUCGGUCAGCCAAAAACACGGA